UACGUAGGGGGCAAGCGUUGUCCGGAAUCAUUGGGCGUAAAGAGCGCGUAGGCGGUCCGGUAAGUCCGCUCUGAAAGUCCGGGGCUCAACCCCGGGAGGCGGGCGGAUACUGUCGGGCUAGAGUCCGGAAGAGGCGAGUGGAAUUCCUGGUGUAGCGGUGAAAUGCGCAGAUAUCAGGAGGAACACCAAUGGCGAAGGCAGCUCGCUGGGACGGUACUGACGCUGAGGCGCGAAAGCGUGGGGAGCGAUCCGG
rnacentral:rRNA from 1 species